ensembl:lncRNA
AUGCUGAAAGAAAAAAAAAAGAAGCGGUUGAAAAAGUGAAUAAAAUAAACACAAGUUUUCAAAUGUAUAGUGAUACUGAUAGUGAAAAUUAUAUAGCGAUAAGGAAAAAAAAAAGUAUAAAAAAAAAUUACAAAAAAUGAAAAAGAAGUUGAUGAAAAAAAUAAAAAAUGUUUUAUUAAUGAUAAUAUAACCACAGUUAACCAAAAAGAAACAUAUAAUCCUAAUACAACUACAAAUGAAAAAGAUAAAAGUAUAUUUUAUAGUAAUAAAUAUUUUCGAAAAAAUAUAAAAUCAGAUUGUUUAGAUAUAGAUAAAAGCAAAAAUGUUUUACAAUUUAAAAAGCGAGAUGAUACAAACAAUAAUGUUAGUGAUGUUGUUACGUUUACUAUUAAUUCUAAUAAUAGUGAUAGGAGUAUUGGUAGGAUUAAUGAUAGAAGUAUUGGUAGGAGUAGUGAUAGGAGUAAUGAUAGGAGUAAUGAUAGGAGUAAUGAUAGGAGUAAUGAUAGGAUUAAUGAUAGAAGUAGUGAUAGGAGUAGUGAUAGGAGUAGUGAUAGGAGUAGUGAUAAUAAUAAUAUUACUGUUGAUCAUAAAAAUUGUAACAAAGAUAAACCAUCCAUUGGUGGUGGAUUCGAAUUAUGUACCGAAUAUACAACGUCAAUUCAAUUUGAUGAUAAUGAUGAUAGUGAUAUUGAAAAUGAAGAAGAAAAAAAGUUAAUAAAAGAAAUAAAACUAAAAAAAAAUAUAAUUAGGAAAAAAAAAAAAAUAAACGAUAAUCUCUUUUUUUAUGAACAAAAUGAACAAGCUGAAAAAAAUGAAAAAAAUGAAAAAAAUGAAAAAAAUGAAAAAAAUGAAAAAAAAAAUAAUAAUAAUUAUGACUUGAUUAGUUUAUCAAAUGAUUAUGAUGAUGUUCUUCACAAUUUUAGUUAUGUAAACAAAAAUAAAAAUAAAAAAAAAAAAGAUUUUUUUUUUAAUUAUACACCAGAAUUUAUAAAGGAAGAAGAUGAUUUAUAUGUAGAUGACAUAUAUAACUACGAAACAGUAAAUGAAAUGAAAAAAAGAAUUUUAUUAAAAAAAAAUAAAAAUAAGGAAAUCGAACAUUUAUAUGAAGUUGUUGAAAGUGAUGAAGAUAAACAGGUUUUUUAUAAUAACAGUAGUGAUGAGUAUUUACAAACAGAAGGGAAGGAAAUAACAGAUGAUAAUUUUGGGAUAAAAACAAAUAGUGAUCAUUCUUAUUGGUUAAAAAAAACAACAACAACAACUACUACUACUACUACUACUACACCCCUAAACAAACUAUAUUCAACAAUAUAUUAUAACCCAACUGAAAAUGAAAAAAUUAAUAAAAUUGUAACUGAUCAUAUGCUUGCAGAUCUGUCAGCAGAAUUAAAUACAUUAAAGUUUAUAACUUCUUCAACUAAAGUAACAAGAGAUUCUACAACUGAACAUUCGAAUAUUCAAAAAGAUAACAUUACUAGUGUGAACAUAGAUGAGCAGUUUGUUUAUGAAAAACAAGAAAAAGAAAAAAAUAUUAAGAUAGAUAAAUAUGAGUUUAUAAAUAAUAAAGGAAAUAUGGUUGGUAAUUUUAGUUCAUUAUCACAUGAGCUGGUACAUGACCAGGUACAGUCUCCAAUAACAAAUAAUGGUGAUAAUAACAAGAGUGGUGAUAA